ACAUUCGGCCAUACUUGGUAGAUAUGCGCCUUAUCCCAUCCCGAACUGAGAAGCUAAGUCUCCAUAGGCCCAGGGAGUACUGCGGUCAGGGAUGACGCUGGAAAUCUGGGUGCUGAAUGUU
rnacentral:rRNA from 1 species